UACGUAGGGUGCAAGCGUUGUCCGGAAUUAUUGGGCGUAAAGAGCUCGUAGGCGGUUUGUCGCGUCUGCUGUGAAAACUCGGGGCUUAACCCCGGGCCUGCAGUGGGUACGGGCAGACUAGAGUGCGGUAGGGGAGACUGGAAUUCCUGGUGUAGCGGUGAAAUGCGCAGAUAUCAGGAGGAACACCGGUGGCGAAGGCGGUUCUCUGGGCCUGUACUGACGCUGAGGAGCGAAAGCGUGGGGAGCGAACAGG
rnacentral:rRNA from 1 species